AUUGAACGCUGGCGGCAGGCCUAACACAUGCAAGUCGAACGAGUGGCGGACGGGUGAGUAAUGUCUGGGAAACUGCCUGAUGGAGGGGGAUAACUACUGGAAACGGUAGCUAAUACCGCAUACCAUCGGAUGUGCCCAGAUGGGAGUAGCUAGUAGGUGGGGCAAAGGCUCACCUAGGUGACGAUCCCUAGCGGGUCUGUGAGGAUGACAAGCCACACUGGAACUGAGACACGGUCCAGACUCCUACGGGAGGCAGCAGUGGGGAAUAGUGCACAAUGGGCGCAAGCCUGAUGCAGCCAUGCCGCGUGUAUGAAGAAGGCCUUCGGGUUGUAAAGUACUUUCAGCGGGGAGGCGUUACCCGCAGAAGAAGCACCGGCUAACUCCGUGCAAGCCGCGGCGGUAAUAC
rnacentral:rRNA from 1 species